rnacentral:rRNA from 1 species
GAUGAACGCUGGCGGCGUGCCUAACACAUGCAAGUCGAACGAAGCUACAUUUUACGAUCCCUUCGGGGUGACGAAUUGUAGACUGAGUGGCGGACGGGUGAGUAACGCGUGGGCAACCUGCCCUAUACCGGGGGAUAGCAGCUGGAAACGGCUGAUAAUACCGCAUAAGCGCACAGAGAGACAUCUCUUGGUGUGAAAAACUCCGGUGGUAUAGGAUGGACCCGCGUCUGAUUAGCCAGUUGGUGAGGUAAAGGCCCACCAAAGCGAAGAUCGGGAGGCGACCUGAGAGGGUGACCGGCGACAGUGGGAGUGAGACACGGCCCAAAAUCCUACGGGAGGCAGCAGUGGGGAAUAUUGCACAAAGGGCGAACGACUGAUGCAGCGGCGCCGCGUGAGUGAGGAAGUAUUUCGGUAUGUAAAGCUCUAUCAGCAGGGAAGAAAAUGACGGUACCUGACUAAGAAGCUCCGGCUAAAUACGUGCCAGCAGCCGCGGUAA